rnacentral:rRNA from 1 species
CCUACGGGUGGCAGCAGUGGGGAAUAUUGGGCAAUGGGCGCAAGCCUGACCCAGCAACGCCGCGUGAAGGAAGAAGGCUUUCGGGGUGUAAACUUCUUUUCUCAGGGACGAAGAAAGGGACGGUACCGGAGGAAUAAGCCACGGCUAACUACGUGCCAGCAGCCGCGGGAAUACGUAGGUGGCAAGCGUUAUCCGGCUUUAUGGGGUGUAACGGGCGUGUAGGCGGGAGCGCAAGUCAGAGGUGAAAACUCCGGGCUCAACCCUGAGCCGGCAUUUGAAACGGUGUUUCUUGAGUGCUGGCGCGGCCAUCGGCCUUCCGUUUGUAGCGGUGACAUGCGUAGAUAUCCGGAGGAACACCAGUGGCGAAGGCGGAUUGCUGGACAGUACCUGCCGCUGCGGCGCGAACGCGUGCGGAGCAAACAGGAUUCGCUCCCCCAGUAGUC